CCUACGGGAGGCAGCAGUGGGGAAUAUUGCGCAAUGGGGGAAACCCUGACGCAGCAACGCCGCGUGAGUGAGGAAGGACUUCGGUCUGUAAAGCUCUGUUAAUGUGGAAAAAUGGUAGUUGGUCUAAUAGGCCGAUUAUUUGAUGGUACACAUAGAGGAAGCACCGGCUAACUUCGUGCCAGCAGCCGCGGUAAUACGAAGGGUGCAAGCGUUGUUCGGAUUUAUUGGGCGUAAAGCGCGCGUAGGCGGACCUGUAAGUCAGAUGUGAAAUCUCGGGGCUCAACCUCGAAACUGCGUCUGAAACUGCAGGUCUAGAAUCUCGGAGGGGGAAGGGGAAUUUCGCAUGUAGGGGUAAAAUCCGUAGAUAUGCGAAGGAACACCAGAGGCGAAGGCGCCUUCCUGGACGAGUAUUGACGCUGAGGCGCGAAAGCGUGGGGAUCAAACAGGAUUAGAUACCCUGGUAGUCCACGCUGUAAACUAUGAACACUAGGUAUUGGAGGAUUUCGACCCCUUCAGUGCCGUAGCUAACGCGUUAAGUGUUCCGCCUGGGAAGUACGGUCGCAAGACUAAAACUUAAANGAAUUGACG
rnacentral:rRNA from 1 species